rnacentral:snRNA from 1 species
GAAUGUGAUGAUGACCUGGCUGCACCAUCUGCCCCCCAGGGUUGGUUUGGCUGACCUGGCUGGCUGGGCAGGUGACCCCUUCCUCCCUCUCCAUUCCAUGUGCAUCUUUCAGUGGAAGAGGAUGAUAGCAUUUCUCUGCCAGAACCCCCAAGCAAGCGCAAGGUCCAUCUUCUUACUGGCAUCCAUAGCCCUGCUUUGGAUUUCUACACACCUCCACAAGUUGU